CAAAGAGGGAGAGAGGAAAGAGGGGAACGUGAGGAGAAAGUACAAGGUCAGGAAGAACCAGGAACAUGGAGGAAAACAGAGAGCAGCGCCACGCUUCAUUAAUUAAAAAGUUUUCAGGCUUAAAGGUCAGAGGUCACAGUGAAAGCCUCCAUGUGUUGUUGGGCUGACAGAAUCUCCUGUGCUGCCACCUGCUGGUGAAAAACUGUCAGAGGGCUUCAUACACCAAUCACUAUAAGCAUGUUACUAAAUUAUGGCCUGUAUUUGUAUAGCGCUUUACUAGUCCCUAAGGACCCCAAAGCGCUUUACACAUCCAGUCACA